UUGCAGUGAUGAAAGCGAUUCCAAAGCCAUUCGUAGUUUCCACCAGAAGUCGAGAGGCUUGUGUUGGCUUAAGAACCUUCCUUGGAUGUCUGAGCGA
ensembl:snoRNA SNORD14 Small nucleolar RNA SNORD14